GGCGACGAUCCAUAGCUGGUCUGAGAGGAUGAUCAGCCACACUGGGACUGAGACACGGCCCAGACUCCUACGGGAGGCAGCAGUGGGGAAUAUUGCACAAUGGGCGCAAGUGAUGCAGCCAUGCCGCGUGUGUGAAGAAGGCCCUAGGGUUGUAAAGCACUUUCAAUGAGGAAGAAAGGUUGGCAGUUAAUAGCUUUCAACUGUGACAUUACUCAUAGAAGAAGCACCGGCUAACUCCGUGCCAGCAGCCGCGGUAAUACGGAGGGUGCGAGCGUUAAUCGGAAUUACUGGGCGUAAAGCGCGCGUAGCGGUUAGUUAAGCGAGAUGUGAAAGCCCCGGGCUCAACCUGGGAACUGCAUUUCGAACUGGCUAGCUAGAGUACAGAAGAGGGUGGUGGAAUUUCCAGUGUAGCGGUGAAAUGCGUAGAGAUUGGAAGGAACAUCAGUGGCGAAGGGGCCACCUGGUCUGAUACUGACGCUGAGGUGCGAAAGGUGGGGAGCAAACAGGAUUAGAUACUCUGGUAGUCCACGCUGUAAACGAUGUCUACCAGCUGUUGGAUUCCUUGAGGAUUUAGUGGC
rnacentral:rRNA from 1 species